UACAUCAGCGCGCCGUGGCCACUGGUGGAACCGACUGUUUCUUUGACGAAAGCUAACCUAACCCGCGUACAAAAUGGCGCAAAAUGUCACGAAUUUAUCAUGCAUCAAGUUAUAUUUUCUUUAGUAUAAUAAUUACAUUCGUUUAGUUAAGCAACUUGUUUAUGAUAAUUGUAGAAAAGUGUAGAAAAAUGACACUUGCAUUAUAUCCUGGGAUGAAGAAACGUUAUUUUAUGUCGAUUUCUUUAGAUGACAAAGGAGGUAACCAAAUAGCAUAUCUUACAAAAUCUGAGGACAAUAAUAAGGAUCGUUUAUCAAGGUUAAAAUAAUUAUUUUACUAAAUUAAGACAUUAACAUAUCCAUGUGUUCGACAUAACCUCACUUCUUAAAUCUCUUAAAUUAGUCGGUUGAGAAACGGAUCGUGAAUGAUUGUUUGAAUAUAAGUCGUACAAAAUUGGAAUGAAACGAUGAACAAUAUACAGAUCUUUAGAUAGGCUCAAAUAAUGUAUGUUUAGGAGCAACUUGAAGAUAAUGGAGAUUUAUCUUCUUAAUAUAAAACCUCUAAAAUUGGGAACAGUAUGUCAUAUAUGCAUGAACUUGAUUGAUGUAUUGAUGUAUAAUGAACUGAAGAUAUAAUGAAUUCAAUCAGGUUAAAAAAAAUGUAUGUGCAAAAGCGACUCGAAGACGAUUUAGAUUUGUCUCCUGAAUAUAAAACUUCCAAGAAGUACAUCAUAUAUGAAUAUCCUGUAUCCUCGCAUUUGAUGUAUUGAACUGGCGAUAGAAUGAAAUCAGUCAGUGUUAAAAAUGUAUGUGUAAAAGCGACUUUAAGAUGAUGGAGAUUUGUACACUGAACAUAAAACUUCCAAAAUUUGGGGCAGUAUGUCAUAUGUGCAUAAUCUGUAUCCUGGCAUUUGAUGCAAUGAACUGGCGAUAGAAUGAAAUAAUGAAAAAUAGGCAGGCUGGUUUGAUGUAUAAGGAAGU